rnacentral:misc_RNA from 1 species
AAUAAUACUAUAAAGUAAUGUAAAUUAAAUUUAUCAAUUUACCGGAAUUAGUCUAGAUUUCUUCUUCAUUUUUUUCACAAAUUUUUAAUGAUUUUUGGAGAAUAACUAAAUCUUUCGAAAAUUGAAAGAAUUUGAUAUUUUUCGUCACUGUACGAUUUGUACAAUUUGUAAUAUAGCAGAUUGGCAUGGCCCACUAAAAAAGAACAUAAAAUAAAAGCAUAUUAUAGAAGUGUUAUGUUUAAUAGUAAGUCAGUGUAAUGAUUAAUGUACUAUUAUGUGGUUCAUUGAAAUAUUGAAAUGUAUACCGGAAAUUCUUAUUUUUCUCCUUACGCAAUAUUUUAAUAUUGCGAUUAAUCACGGGGGCAUUUAAUCAUUAUCUUAGCAAAGCAUUAAGUUAUUAUUACGACAGCGAAUUAAUACGUCUCGUUAUAUUCUUAUUUUAAUAUUUAAAGUUUAUAUUUAUUUUUUUUUUUUGUAGAUAUUUAUAAGUUUUACAAAAAUAUACAUAAGUUUUACAAAAAUACUUACAGCCUAUUUUUUUGUUUUUUGGAGAUUAUUAUCGUACUCUUCGACUUCUCUACUUGACACACAAUAGGCACCGAAUUUAACCUCUUAUGUGCACUAAUUAGGCGAUUUUUGGCGAUCGCCUGGUACAUGUACCAAGGUUGAUAUUGGUAGGGGUGGAGCUUAUCCUGGUAUAAUGUACCACUACCAUGUACCACAUGAACGCUAAAACGGACUGGUUCUUUUCUCUUUGCGCGCAACUUUCAAACUGUUGAAAAUUAUUGGUAGCUUUCAGCAAAGAAAAAAGUUCAGUAAGCGGAUUAUUGCUCUUGACACGCUCCCUUGAGACCUGUUUUUUAUUACUGCACAUUAGUUCAAGAAGUAUAUAUAUAUAUACAUAGUGAAACAUAUGCUGAAUGUAACCUAUCUUUUACUGCUAAGUGUGAAUAUUUGAACAAAAAAACAUGAGUUUUAAUGCGCGUUUAUUAAUGUGGCGACACAAACCGUUAGUCACCACACCAAGCGCCUAACAACGGCGCAACCCGUUCGACACUGUAAGAAUUUCCAAAACGCCUAACAGCCGCGCAACCCGGCUGACACAGUAAGAAUUUCGACUGUAAGGAAAGAGAAGUGCGCGCGGACGCCACCAGAGGCCAUCUUAUCUCAGGAGUAAGAUGGCGACUCCUGGGCUUUAUAAGGAGCACGAGAAGACGGACGGAUUACUCUUUGCGUACUCGCACUCGAGUCUUCUUUUUCAUAUACGAAGACAUUAGCCGUCUCUCGUAUAGAAUACUAGGAGCACGCUGGCCACCAAGGAGCAGCCGUGGAACCCCGCAACCGCCGUGAUCUCACCACUACGAAGGACCAGACCUCCGAGGGUACUCUUGGCCGCCGACGACCCGCGGAUUUGGCGCUACACUUCGCCCCGGUACCUGUUACCAGACCUGUUGGAGAGCCUGGCAAGGGAGACCACCACUAGAGGUACUCAGACGGAGGGGGACACGACCAGGGAGAACCGGGCUACACAGACCAUCGCCUUACCGACAACUAGGGACCACGGCACGCAGCACGAAGGCAGCAGCACUGAUCAGGCCACGACGCCGACGGAAGGCAGUCAACCCCGCGACAAGCCGGCAAGACGCCCUCGCAGAGAGAAACGCACUGCCAAGCAGAAGGAAAGACGCUUUUCCAAGCGAAGGAGAGCCGCAGACGACCAGGUUCCUGAAAUAACGUCCACGCUAUCCCUGGACGAAAACAACAACGCUAGUAGAGUACGGGUGACGAAGGCUCACCCGCCGAUAGCUUGGAGACCGCGGCAGGCUUAAGAUCCAGAUACGUAAUCGGCCCUUGUCAGGGCCACCAAACAAAUCAUAAACAUAAAGACUCUGUACAAAAUAUACAUAUAGAAUAAACUAUUUAUUUAAAGGGAAACCAGCGUACUUCUCUUCACGCACCAUAUUCCUCUGCGUACAACUUAACUGCGAGCGAACAACACGCCCACAUUAAUGUUAAUAAAUGAAAUGUAUGAUGACGAUGAUGAUGACGGAAACGAAUGUUUAGUGGAAUUUUAUAGACAAUGGUUUCAUGCACAAAAUGUAAAAAGAAGACUACGUGCAUUAUGCCUUAAUCAAAGACAACAUCAUAAUCGUCCUCAAUUGUAUUCAGAAAUAUGGAUUGAUUUAUAUAUUGAUUAUGACUUUUUUCAAACUUUUAGGUUGAAACGGUCAACGUUUCAGCAAUUGUUACUACUAAUAACACGUCAAAGAGAAAUGAUGCAAAAAGUAAGUACCCUGACAAUACAGAUGUCCGGGGGACGUCCAGAGUGUGUCCUGAGGUCAUCCUGGGGACGUUUCUUCGUCCUGAGGACGUCCCUGGGAUGUCCUCAGGAGAUCUUGUGCUGUCUGAGUAACAAAUAAUUUUACUUCAAAUAAUCAAAUAUUUCUUGCAAACUUUUUGAAUGUGGCAAAUAUCUAUUUUGAUAACCUUUAUCAUAAUAUUUUUAUCAUAACAUUUAAAUUAUUCUAAAUAAUAUUAGAAUUAUUGGCACUAGAUUAUUCUAAUUAAUAUAUAUUUUUUAUUAUAAUUACUAAAUUACAGUUGUAUACAGAAUUUUUUUUGAUAUGUUGUGACAAAAUAGUCUUUGUAUUCGGCUCUCUCUGCGUUCGGAAAACCGGUUUCACGUUGAAACAUUUUAUAUAAUUAACAUAUUUUAUUAAUAGGACACAACUUGUUUUAAAUACAGUAUUUUGUUACACUUGAAUUAAGUGGCAAUAUUCCUGAAUUUUUCUUCUAUAUUAAUUUAUAAAUAAAUUAUUUAAUAGAUAAAUAUAUGUUUUAUAAAAUUUUAGGUAUAUAGGGGAGGAUAUGAAUCUGUACAGCCCAAAAAAGUGCAACAAAUUGUCUUAUAUUAUUUGGCACAUCAGGUUUCAAUGGCACAACUUGGGGACAAAUUUGAUGUUGCAACAUCAACUGUCUCUAAUUAUGUAACUAUAUGGAUAAAGUGUAAGUUAAAAUUGGUACCUAUUGUAAUACAAUAGCCUAGCACGAAUGAAAGAAUGCGUAUAGAAGAAAAAUUCAGAAAUAUUGCAGGUUUUCCAGGUGUAAUUGGAGCUGUUAAUGGUUGCCAUAUUAAUGUAAUGGCAUCAAGUAUACAGCAAAAGAGUUACCAGAAUAGAUAUAUGACCCAUUCGAUAAUCUUACAAGGAAUUUGUACAGCAGACUACUUAUUUACAAAUGUAUAUGUGGGAUAUCCUGGAUCGGCUAAUGAUUGCAGAGUAUUAACAAAUUCAAGUUUAUAUAUUAAAAUUGAACAAAAUGGAUAUACUCAGUAUUUUCUACCGGACCAACAUCUGUUAGGUGACAAAAUAUAUCCAAUAAAAGAUUGGCUGCUACCUCCAUUCGAAGAUUAUGGGAAUGUUACACGUAUGCAAAUAAAAUAUAACAAAAUACACAGCAAAACAAGAAUAAAGAUUGAAAAUAGCUUUGGUUUACUAAAGGACGAUGACAAAGGCUUAAGUAUAUAACAGUGUAUAAAAUUAAAAAAGCUUCAAACAUUAUGGCAUGUUGUGCUCUACAUAACUUUUGUUUAAUGUUUAAAUAUUGAUUUUGCUGAAACAUUAAUAGAUGUUGACAUAUCGAAAAAAUUAAUAACAUACAAAUUCUCAGAAGAGAUGAGGACAGAAAUGUUGCGAUAGAUAAAAGAAUGCGAUAGAUAUGAUAAUGACGCAAUUAUCAGAAAAGUAGAAAUAAUGUAACAUUUAAAAUGUACUAUGUUAAACAAAAAUCGUCGAAUAAAUAAUCAUUUACUCGCGUUAAUCUGUAUUAUCCUUUAUUUAACAUACAUCACAUAAAAAACUACAAUUAGAAGUCUAAAAAUAACGAAAAUGUUUUUGUUGGAUACAUUGUAAAAAAUGUUACACAGAUAUAAUCAGUCUCAUUUUGCAAAAGUAACACAUCUUAUACAUAUAUAUUCCACAUAGUAAAAAAAAAAUAAGUUUUAUCCUUUGUAACGCGUAACGUAAAUUAUAUGUAAUUUGUACGUUUUUCCUUACACAUUCCAGUGAAAAUAGAAUAUUGCAGCAACAUUGCGGCAAUAUUGGCAACAUUGUUGCAACAUUACAGCAAUAUUGCAACAUUGCUGCAAUGUUGCUGUAAUGUUCUGUGUUCACUGGGAUUAUAAUUUCCACUGAAAACAGCUACUCAAAACGAUGUCAAUUUAAUGUCAUAAUGACUAACAAAUAGUCAACAUGACGUCAUUGAUAUCAUUUUGACUCUUUCACUGGGUUAAACGUAACACAUCUUAUGCAUAUAUAUUCCACAUAUGCAAACUAAAAACAAUAAAAUCUUUAUUUUUUAACGCGUAACGCACAUUAGAUGUAAUUUGUACUGCAAUACGUUUGUCUUUCCACAUUAUGAUUAAAAAUAACAUAUCUUAUACAUAUACUACAUAGGCAAAAUAAAAAAAAAUAAAAUCUUUUUUAACGCGUAACGUAAAUUAUACGUAAUUUGUACUGCAAUACGUUUUUCCUUACACAUUAUAAUUAGUCAGAAUCAGAGGAAUGUUUUCUCUUUUUAGAUUUUCUGCGCGCUUCUAAAUUAUAAAUAUCCUUUAAAACAGUUAAAAAUUCACUACGCUGUUCCACUGUUCGCUUUCUUAAUCGCUUUGCUCUACUAAUAAGGCUUCAAAUUUUUUAAAGCGUCUUUUUCAAUUUUUAUAUCUUGUUCGUGUAAGUG